rnacentral:rRNA from 1 species
UACGUAGGGUGCAAGCGUUGUCCGGAAUUAUUGGGCGUAAAGAGCUCGUAGGCGGUUUGUCGCGUCGAAUGUGAAAUCCCGGGGCUCAACCCCGGGUCUGCAUUCGAUACGGGCAGACUAGAGUUCGGUAGGGGAGUCUGGAAUUCCUGGUGUAGCGGUGAAAUGCGCAGAUAUCAGGAGGAACACCGGUGGCGAAGGCGGGACUCUGGGCCGAUACUGACGCUGAUGCGCGAAAGCUAGGGGAGCGAACGGG